CCUACGGGUGACAGCAGUGAGGAAUAUUGGUCAAUGGACGAGAGUCUGAACCAGCCAAGUAGCGUGAAGGAUGACUGCCCUAUGGGUUGUAAACUUCGUUUAUAUGGGAAUAAAAUGUCCCACGUGUGGGAUUUUGUAUGUACCAUAUGAAUAAGGAUCGGCUAACUCCGUGCCAGCAGCCGCGGUAAUACGGAGGAUCCGAGCGUUAUCCGGAUUUAUUGGGUUUAAAGGGAGCGUAGGUGGAUUGUUAAGUCCGUUGUGAAAGUUUGCGGCUCCACCGUAAAAUUGCAGUUGAAACUGGCAGUCUUGAGUACAGUAGAGGUGGGCGGACUUCGUGGUGUAGCGGUGAAAUGCUUAGAUAUCACGAAGAACUCCGAUUGCGAAGGCAGUUCACUGGACUGCAACUGACACUGAGGCUCGAACGUGUGGGUAUCAAACAGGAUUAGAUACCCGAGUAGUC
rnacentral:rRNA from 1 species